UGGCGAACGGGUGAGUAACACGUGGAUAACCUACCUAUAAGACUGGGAUAACUUCGGGAAACCGGAGCUAAUACCGGAUAAUAUAUUGAACCGCAUGGUUCAAUAGUGAAAGACGGUUUUGCUGUCACUUAUAGAUGGAUCCGCGCCGCAUUAGCUAGUUGGUAAGGUAACGGCUUACCAAGGCAACGAUGCGUAGCCGACCUGAGAGGGUGAUCGGCCACACUGGAACUGGGACACGGUCCAG
rnacentral:rRNA from 1 species